rnacentral:misc_RNA from 1 species
CAACCCUUAAGCUUAGCUUAGUGUUGGGAGAUUACUCUAUAGUAACUCCCCAAAACCAUUGGCAGAGUCAAUACACCUCUGAGCGUAGUAAUUUUCACCUCGCUUCUGCGGCCUGUAUUAACGAUCGCCACAAACCUAUUAUUUUUCAAU